rnacentral:lncRNA from 1 species
UAUGCUAUUUGCUUCCAACCGCGCCUGCCUUUUAUUGCUACCAAACAAGGCUCCUUCCUCCAUUUUCUACUAACCCUAAUUAGUUGACCUCCAUCUUGAUUUUGUAUUAAUGUAUCCAUAUAUCCACUCCAUUUCAUCCAUCCAACUUAACAUCUUUAUGUUUCAAUAAAAAGUUACCAUCUUCUGUAUAUGUAUGUGAGCAAACCAUUAUUAACCAUUGGUUUAUAACAAUAU